rnacentral:pre_miRNA from 14 species
ACGCGCUGCCGCUCGUCGUCUGGCUCUGCGUGGAAGACUAGUGAUUUUGUUGUUCUGACUUAUAAAGGUGACAACAAAUCAUAGCCUGCCAUACAGCACAGACUCGCACCACGCGCCAAUAGG